rnacentral:rRNA from 1 species
GACGGAGGAUGCAAGUGUUAUCCGGAAUCACUGGGCGUAAAGCGUCUGUAGGUGGUUUAAUAAGUCAACUGUUAAAUCUUGAGGCUCAACCUCGAAAUCGCAGUCGAAACUAUUAGGCUAGAGUAUAGUAGGGGUAAAGGGAAUUUCCAGUGGAGCGGUGAAAUGCGUAGAGAUUGGAAAGAACACCGAUGGCGAAGGCACUUUACUGGGCUAUUACUAACACUCAGAGACGAAAGCUAGGGUAGCAAAUGGG